rnacentral:rRNA from 1 species
UACGGAGGGUGCAAGCGUUAAUCGGAAUUACUGGGCGUAAAGCGUGCGCAGGCGGUUUGUUAAAUCUGUUGUGAAAUCCCCGAGCUCAACUUGGGAAUUGCAAUGGAUACUGGCAGGCUGGAGUAUGGUAGAGGAAGGUGGAAUUCCCGGUGUAGCAGUGAAAUGCGCAGAUAUCAGGAGGAACACCGAUGGCGAAGGCAGGUCUCUGGGCAUUAACUGACGCUGAGGAGCGAAAGCAUGGGGAGCGAACAGG